rnacentral:misc_RNA from 1 species
AACGCACAUUGCGCCCCUUGGUAUUCCGGGGGGCAUGCCUGUUCGAGCGUCAUUAUCACCCCUCAAGCUCAGCUUGGUGUUGGGGCCUGCCCGUCACAGGGCAGCCCUUAAAAGCAGUGGCGGUGCCAUCUGGCUCUAAGCGUAGUAAUACUCCUCGCUAUAGACGUCUGGUGGUAUCCUGCCAAAACCCCCCAUAUUUUUAAUGAUUGACCUCGGAUCAGGUAGGGAUACCCGCUGAACUUAA